CCCUACGGGGCGCAGCAGGCGCGAAAACUCUGCAAUAGGCGAAAGCUUGACAGGGUUAUUCUGAGUGAUUUCCGCUAAGGAGAUCUUUUGGCACCUCUAAAAAUGGUGCAGAAUAAGGGGUGGGCAAGCCUGGUGUCAGCCGCCGCGGUAAUACCAGCACCCCGAGUGGUCGGGACGAUUAUUGGGCCUAAAGCAUCCGUAGCCGGUUCUACAAGUCUUCCGUUAAAUCCACCUGCUUAACAGUUGGGCUGCAGAGGAUACUAUAGAGCUAGGAGGCGGGAGAGGCAAGCGGUACUUAGUGGGUAGGGGUGAAAUCCUGUAAUCC
rnacentral:rRNA from 1 species